ACGACUCUCGGCAACGGAUAUCUCGGCUCUCGCAUCGAUGAAGAACGUAGCGAAAUGCGAUACUUGGUGUGAAUUGCAGAAUCCCGUGAACCAUCGAGUCUUUGAACGCAAGUUGCGCCCCAAGCCGUUAGGUCGAGGGCACGUCUGCCUGGGUGUCA
rnacentral:rRNA from 1 species